rnacentral:lncRNA from 1 species
GUCAAUGCCUCCUGAAUCGAAACCACAGAAGUGAUAAGCUAACCAAUCGAAACUGACUGUGAAUCUGUCUAUAGCAGCUCAACGAUACGAAUCAACAUCUCUCUCACUCAACCCAGGGCACUGAACUAAGACUGGGACCACAAAUAGACUCCUAUAGAAGAGCCAAUCAAAACGACUCAAACACGACUCAUGCAACGACACGGGAUGCAACGAACAAUGACCAAUGCAUGAUACAACACAAUCCACAACAUGACAGGGCGCGACACACAAUCAUAUGGUGACAAUCAAAAUUUGGAUAGACGAUAGAAUCUCUAGAGUCACAUGAGUGUCCAAUGUGAGACAACUACAAAUAUGACUAAAGAAUUUCUAUCGAUAAUCCAGAAAAUGAUCGAGGUGUGAAGAAAAUAAAUGGGGUGUGAAGAACAACACUAUCACGAGAUCGAUACUCAAUCUAUAACAAAA